ensembl:lncRNA
GACAGAAAUGAGUGACUUCACUUUCACUUUUCACUUUAAUAGGGAUUACUAGCAAAUCAAAAAAGUUAAUGCAUGUAAAGCACAUUGGACAGUACUUGGCAUAUAAGUAUCCUUUAAUAAUUAUUCAAGUUAAUUUUAUAAUAUCUUUAUUUUAUAAGUAUUCAUUUAACUCAUGUGUUUAACAAUUAUUUAUUCAGUACCUUACUUUGUAUAGGUACGGGGAAAGACAUUAUCACUAGCGUCUGGGAUCCUAGGGUCUCAUGGAGAAGAAAAUCAAGUAAACCUAUGAUUACAGUUCGGUGCAGUAAGAGCCUUAAUAGCAGAAAGAAGGCUGGGCCUGGGUGGGGUGGGCUGAGGGAUGGCUUUGGGGCUGGAUUAGAUCAUGUCUCAGUUAAAUUCCCACACUUGAACUAGAGUUAAGCAGAGUCAGCAUGGGCAGAGGGCAGUAGCCAGUGCAGGGGCCGAGGGACGAAAGGAGCAAGGAGGGCCAUACAGGUGGAACGUCUUGGCCGAAGAGCCAGCCCAGAGCGUUCAGGAUGGUAGCUGGUUCUGCGCGUCUGGGGAGGAGGAUGUAUGCAUGUGGCAGGCUAUGUAUUAUUUCAAUCAGAUGGGGAAUGGGGCAGGGUGAACUAUCCUGGCUAUCAGGCAGACUGCUCACACGCCACUUCCGAGUGCAAUUCUUGUGCUCCAAAUGAUGCCCAGGAACAGCAGAGAGCCGCUGGCCUUGCAGGAGCCGUGCUGACCAGCACAGUGGACCAUAAACUGGGCUUGUGGGCAACUGACACUCCAAGAGCUGUCUGGAACCACAACCCAGCUGAUGAGAGGCAGCCAGGGGUUGGAACAAAUCCUAGAAUUGGGAUACAAAGCUCUCCAAAGAGACCAUGUUUACAUUUUUUGAAGGUAAGCAAAAUGGGGGCUGACCAAGAUGGCCUAAAUAUUUCCCUCAGCUUGACAAAGCUUUAGAGGAACUUGUUCUUGACCAAGGGCGUCCCAGGUGGCGCAGUGAUAAAGAAUCUACCUGCCAAUGCAGGCAAGGCAGGAGACGUGAGGUUGGGAAGAUCCCCCGGAGAAGGAAAUGGCAACCCACUCCAGCCUUCUUGCCUGGAAAACCCCAUGGACAGAGGAGCCUGGCGGGCUGCAGUCCACGGGUUCACAAAAAAUCCUUGAUAAUAGGCUCCUGACCACCUCUUUCCUGGAGCACUCACUUUAGAAAACCUGCAGUUGUAAAUUAUUGUUCUCUUUGAAAUGUAAAUUUUAUGCAACCCAGAAAUGUUUUUCUCAGGGACAAAGGGAGCCAUCCUUUUGAAAUUUAAUCAUCAAGAAAGAUAGAGGCCUUGUCUCCUAGACUCUGGCAGAAAUUAGGAACCUAACUUUGGUAAGUGACAAUUAGUAAAUAUGGAUAGCCUAAUCACAUUGACAGACUGCUCCCAUAAUUUUCCACUAGCUCAUCUCAGCAUUUAAAAAUCUUCCCACUUUUCAUGUCAAUGGAACUGAAUUCAAUUUCUCUCCCCUAUUGCAAUCAUCUUGAAUAAAGUUUUCCCUGACUAUUUUACUGGUCUGGCACAAUAUUCCUUUUAUAGGACUCAGAAGUAAACAAUUAAGCUGUCAUAUAAAAAUUUAAAAAUUUUAUUUAUUGUACAGUUCAGUUUGUGUCAUAAGAGUUAAAAAUAGAAACAUUUCUGCUCUGUAGCUGGCUGAAAGCCUGGUUAUUUUGUAUAUUGGAGUCAGAUUAAAAAAUGAACUGUUUCCUUAUAUACCUGCUUCCUUUUUGGAAUGAUGUUUGCCUAUUCCUCUUACCACCAAAGAUGGUUACUAUUUCUUCCCCAACUUGAUCAUUUAUAUUCUUUUCUGGAACAUAAAAUUAUUCUCAAGAUUGAAAGUAGGGUCUGUAAACUAAAUAGCCUUGUCCCUGAUAGACAUUCAGCCAAUGCAAAGAGUUGUAUCCUUUCAUCAAAAGGCCAAUACAUACAAUGCAUGUAAAUUGCUUCAAUUGUGUCCAACUCUUUGUGACCCUAUGGACCAUAGCCCGCCAGGCUCUUCUGUCCAUCGGGUUCUCCGGGCAAGAACACUGGAGUGGGUUACCACGCCCUCCUUCAGGGGAUAUUUCCAAUCCAAGGAUCAAACCCAUAUCUCCUGUGUGUCCUGCACUGGCAGGCAGGGUCUUUACCACUGGUGCCACCUGGGAAGCCCCAUACACAGAACAGUCCCUUAGUCAAGAAGGGAAAGUUCUAAUCUCAAGAUUUAUUUUCACAGCUUGAGAAGCAGAUAUAAUUCUUUUUUGAGCUAUAAAUAACAAAGGUUUUAAAUCCCACAUAACAAGAGGGAGCACUCUAAUAGUUUUACUGCUGCUGUAAAUAAUGACCACAAACACAGUUCCAUAGAUUAGAAGUCUGCACACAGCCUCUCUCAACGGGGUCUGCUACUGAGGGCCUUCCUAAACUGAAAUCAAGAAAUCAAGGUA